ensembl:processed_transcript
CCAUGAGGUAGAAGCUGCAGAUUGUCUCCUUCCUGACCCCUGGACCUGUACUGAUCUCGAGAUGAGCCCGACGAAGGAUUUGCCAGACAUCUUCCUGUUGCGUGUCUGAAUACCAUCCUUCUUCAUAUUCUUUCGGUCAUUUCUACAAGUGCCAUCUUUUGGUGGGUUAAAAAUUGCACACAGGAAGCAACUGUACAGAUUUCUGGAGUGGAACACACUGGCGGGAUACUCGUGCGCUCCGGCUACUGAGUAAUCGGGAUAUGAAGGUAUAGGGGUUGUCGUUUGCGCCAGAUGCGGGUUGCUACGGAUUGGACUGGAGCACUCCAUCUUCAUCCCGUCGACUAGAUGGAGAUGGUACUUCCCGGCAUCCCUCACCGCGGCACAGGCCGGGUCCGGGGACACAUCUUUGGGCGGGGUGGGCGGCAGGCAGUAGAGCUGUGCGCUGCAGUGUUGCGUCAUCGACAGGCACGGCAUCGGACCCGAGGCCGGCGCACCGGUGCCUGCGUACAGGCCGUUGGAGGAUUCGGCGCCUGCUGAAU